AAAUUGAAGAGUUUGAUCAUGGCUCAGAUUGAACGCUGGCGGCAGGCCUAACACAUGCAAGUCGAACGGUAACAGGAAACAGCUUGCUGUUUCGCUGACGAGUGGCGGACGGGUGAGUAAUGUCUGGGAAACUGCCUGAUGGAGGGGGAUAACUACUGGAAACGGUAGCUAAUACCGCAUAACGUCGCAAGACCAAAGAGGGGGACCCUCGGGCCUCUUGCCAUCGGAUGUGCCCAGAUGGGAUUAGCUUGUUGGUGGGGUAACGGCUCACCAAGGCGACGAUCCCUAGCUGGUCUGAGAGGAUGACCAGCCACACUGGAACUGAGACACGGUCCAGACUCCUACGGGAGGCAGCAGUGGGGAAUAUUGCACAAUGGGCGCAAGCCUGAUGCAGCCAUGCCGCGUGUAUGAAGAAGGCCUUCGGGUUGUAAAGUACUUUCAGCGGGGAGGAAGGGAGUAAAGUUAAUACCUUUGCUCAUUGACGUUACCCGCAGAAGAAGCACCGGCUAACUCCGUGCCAGCAGCCGCGGUAAUACGGAGGGUGCAAGCGUUAAUCGGAAUUACUGGGCGUAAAGCGCACGCAGGCGGUUUGUUAAGUCAGAUGUGAAAUCCCCGGGCUCAACCUGGGAACUGCAUCUGAUACUGGCAAGCUUGAGUCUCGUAGAGGGGGUAGAAUUCCAGGUGUAGCGGUGAAAUGCGUAGAGAUCUGGAGGAAUACCGGUGGCGAAGGCGGCCCCCUGGACGAAGACUGACGCUCAGGUGCGAAAGCGUGGGGAGCAAACAGGAUUAGAUACCCUGGUAGUCCACGCCGUAAACGAUGUCGACUUGGAGGUUGUGCCCUUGAGGCGUGGCUUCCGGAGCUAACGCGUUAAGUCGACCGCCUGGGGAGUACGGCCGCAAGGUUAAAACUCAAAUGAAUUGACGGGGCCCGCACAAGCGGUGGAGCAUGUGGUUUAAUUCGAUGCAACGCGAAGAACCUUACCUGGUCUUGACAUCCACGGAAGUUUUCAGAGAUGAGAAUGUGCCUUCGGGAACCGUGAGACAGGUGCUGCAUGGCUGUCGUCAGCUCGUGUUGUGAAAUGUUGGGUUAAGUCCCGCAACGAGCGCAACCCUUAUCCUUUGUUGCCAGCGGUCCGGCCGGGAACUCAAAGGAGACUGCCAGUGAUAAACUGGAGGAAGGUGGGGAUGACGUCAAGUCAUCAUGGCCCUUACGACCAGGGCUACACACGUGCUACAAUGGCGCAUACAAAGAGAAGCGACCUCGCGAGAGCAAGCGGACCUCAUAAAGUGCGUCGUAGUCCGGAUUGGAGUCUGCAACUCGACUCCAUGAAGUCGGAAUCGCUAGUAAUCGUGGAUCAGAAUGCCACGGUGAAUACGUUCCCGGGCCUUGUACACACCGCCCGUCACACCAUGGGAGUGGGUUGCAAAAGAAGUAGGUAGCUUAACCUUCGGGAGGGCGCUUACCACUUUGUGAUUCAUGACUGGGGUGAAGUCGUAACAAGGUAACCGUAGGGGAACCUGCGGUUGGAUCACCUCCUUA
rnacentral:rRNA from 1 species